UUUGGCUCUUCCUGUUUCUAGGGGUUAUCUGCCUUCCUGAGGGCAGAGCAAACAGCCCUGCUAUCCCUGCUGCAUAGUACAGCCUGCCAGUCCCAUCAUUUCCCAGAAGGCAGCAGACAGAAUGAAGAGGCAAAAGGGGAAGUGCCUACUUAACACAGCUCAGGGAUGACAACCAGGAUGGUGUCGCUGAUGAUGAUGAUGAGAAGCUCUUCUUCCUGGAUAUGCGGUGCUUUGAUGUGCUGGCUCUGACUAGCUCUGACCCUGUGUUCCCAAGACCCAGGGAGCCUUUGAGGACACCUCGGGGGGAGCAGGUCAUAAGCCAAUGACUCAUUCGUGUUGGGUUGUGGGGUGAGUGGUAACCUCCAAAAUGUGCUCCUGCUCCCUCCCUGCAUGGGAAGUGAAGCCAACCGAGGCAGAGGUGGCCUGUCUGGGCCAACCUUUCCCUCAAGGUGGCAGAAAUGCCCCCAUCAGAAAUGCUCUUUUAGAGCAAACAUUGUCCCCUCCAGGAGCAUCUUAAAAUGUAAAUAUGCUGGGACAAUGUGUGCCUUCUGUGUUCCGGGCCCUGAAAACACUGCAAGAGGAGAAAAGCUACAGCCUCUACCCCCUUAUUUUCCUGAAGGUAGACUGGAGAGUGCAGAGGCUUCCCCCACAUUUCAGGCUCCCCUGCGGAAUGAGAAGCAGCCUCUCGUCCCCUUGUCAGUGCUGAGCCCAUAGGGGUGGUAGCCAACACGAGAGGCAGCGAA
rnacentral:lncRNA from 1 species